UAGGGAUCUACGCGACGACGGGUAGCCGGCCUGAGAGGGCGACCGGCCACACUGGGACUGAGACACGGCCCAGACUCCUACGGGAGGCAGCAGUGGGGAAUAUUGCACAAUGGGCGAAAGCCUGAUGCAGCGACGCCGCGUGAGGGAUGACGGCCUUCGGGUUGUAAACCUCUUUCAGCAGGGAAGAAGCGAAAGUGACGGUACCUGCAGAAGAAGCGCCGGCUAACUACGUGCCAGCAGCCGCGGUAAUACGUAGGGCGCAAGCGUUGUCCGGAAUUAUUGGGCGUAAAGAGCUCGUAGGCGGCUUGUCACGUCGGAUGUGAAAGCCCGAGGCUUAACCUCGGGUCUGCAUUCGAUACGGGCUAGCUAGAGUGUGGUAGGGGAGAUCGGAAUUCCUGGUGUAGCGGUGAAAUGCGCAGAUAUCAGGAGGAACACCGGUGGCGAAGGCGGAUCUCUGGGCCAUUACUGACGCUGAGGAGCGAAAGCGUGGGGAGCGAACAGGAUUAGAUACCCUGGUAGUCCACGCCGUAAACGUUGGGAACUAGGUGUUGGCGACAUUCCACGUCGUCGGUGCCGCAGCUAACGCAUUAAGUUCCCCGCCUGGGGAGUACGGA
rnacentral:rRNA from 1 species